rnacentral:lncRNA from 1 species
UUUCAUCAGAGUUUGGGUCUGGAAAAUCACCAUUUGUUGGAAAAUUCUUGGUAAGUUACGAUAACAUAUAUUGUCAGAAAUGUUCAUCGGAAAAUCAUCUGAAUGUACUGAUGAAUUUUUGAGUAAUCCACCUCCGAUCAAUUUACGGCUGCUGAAUAUAUUUAUAUAAAAAAAAAUAUUUUAAUUAAAUUAUAACAAAUAUUAAAAAUCUUCAUAUAUUUUAUUGCAUAAUAAAUGUAAAAAUUCAAUAACAAAAAAAGUCAAAAUGAAAGAACGGUGGUGAUAGCGGAUGAGAAGUGAGCGGAAUGGAAAUAGUGGUAAACAGAGUUGUAGCGGUGGUCGUGCAAGGAGUUGAGGUGACUGGAUGCAAAGAAAGAGGUGUGGCGGUGCAAGGAUUUGCGGCAGUAGCGCCGGAGAUGGU